ensembl:lncRNA
CUACUCUACUAUUCUAAUAUACUCCUCUACCCUCCAAAGUCUCAGACAUAAAGGAGACAUGCAUUUACACAAACUGAUCUUCAUUUACACAAAAUGAUUUGCUUUUUCCCUUGGACUGCAAGGAGAUCAAACCAGUCAAUCCUAAAGGAAAUCAGCCGUCAAUGUUCUUUGGAAGGACUGAUGCUGAAUCUGAAGCUCCAAAACUUUGGCCACCUAAUGCGAAGAACCAACUCCUUGGAAAAGACCCUGAUCUGGGAAAGAUUGAAGGCAGGAGGACAAGGGAACAACAGAGGUUAAGAUGGUUGGAUGGCAUCACUGACUCGAUGGACAUGAAUUUGAGCAAGCUCCAGGUGUUGGUGAUGGACAGGGAAGCUUGGAGUGCUGCAGUCCAUGGGGUCACAAAGAGUCAGACAUGACUGAGCAACUGAACUGAACUGAUCUAUUUUUCAGAAUAGGAUAACCAUACCUCUGAUUAAUUAACAUCUGAAAACAAACAAAUAAGACCAGAAGUUAUAGUCCAUCCAUUUCACUAACAAUGGCUACUAUGUGCCAGGCACUAUAUAUAUAGCUUUAUUAUGAGUAAGAAAAUGAGCUACAUUAGGAUUUGAAAAAUAAUAAAGUAGCUCAUGGGUCUCAAGGACUCCAGAGACUCUGGCUAAAGACCUGUGUGCUAGUAUUAUAGUGACAAUUACAGCUGUUCAAGACUCCUAGAAGGCCACCAAGGAGAAGACUGUUGGUGUGGACAUAAAUGUAAAGCCUGGGGGCUUCAGGGAAAGCCCUUGAGCCAGAGACGAGUAGUACAUAAAGAAAAGUCAAUGUGUCUCAAAUGGUGCCACUAAAUUCUGUUAAAUGAAAUAAAAAUAGGUAAAACUUAAAGGGCUCUUAACUCCUAGAAGCCAGUUACUCCUAGAAGCAGUUUACUUAUAUUGAUUACUGUUAUCAUCUCAUCCUUCCUAUAAGGCACAGGGAAGUUGCAUGGUGGACCCAAGAUCACACAACCAAUUAGUGCUAGAACCAGGAUUGGAAGUGAUAUAGUUUGCUCUUAACCUAGUGGUUAAGCUUGCACAUAAAAGAUUGUUAACUAGACAUGACUUAAUAGGAAAAAAAAGACACAGGACACACACAACUCAGCCAUUCCCAGUUCUUUCAGCACCGAGGGGCCCCUUUGUGUCUUCUUUUCCAUCGUGGACUCCUGUGCUUGGAAAGAUGUCCACUUCUGCCAUACUAAAGGAGGGAGGGCUCAAAAUAAAGUAAAUUUCAUUUGACUUUUAAAAAUAAAUGUAUCCCAGAGAGAUGUUAUGGGGAGGGAGGUGGGAGGGGGGUUCAUGUUUGGG